GAUGAACGCUGGCGGCGUGCCUAAUACAUGCAAGUCGAGCGAAUGGAUUAAGAGCUUGCUCUUAUGAAGUUAGCGGCGGACGGGUGAGUAACACGUAGGCAACCUGCCUGGAGGACCGGGACAACCACUGGAAACGGUGGCUAAGACCGGAUAGGAGCGCGAAACGCAUGGGAAUCGCUGGAAAAGGGGCGCAAGUCCCUGCCCCUGGAUGGGCCUGCGGCGGAUUAGCUGGUUGGCGGGGUACCGGCCCACCAAGGCGACGAUGCGUAGCCGACCUGAGAGGGUGACCGGCCACACUGGGACUGAGACACGGCCCAGACUCCUACGGGAGGCAGCAGUAGGGAAUCUUCCGCAAUGGACGCAAGUCUGACGGAGCAACGCCGCGUGAGUGACGAAGGUUUUCGGAUUGUAAAACUCUGUUGCCGGGGACGAAGAGUGUGGAGAGGGAAUGCUCCAUGCGUGACGGUACCCGAGAAGAAAGCCCCGGCUAACUACGUGCCAGCAGCCGCCGUAA
rnacentral:rRNA from 1 species